AGUGUUUUGACGACUGCCUCACUAAAGGAAGCUAAAAGCUGUGCUGAUGCCUCCCAGACGAGCCUCGUUGGAAGCACAGAACCUUCACGGCUCGGAGCCGCUGACACCGUGACAAAGGGAGCCCUGCUCAGGAGAAAGAGCAAAUGAGAGGCAGUUGCACUUUUUCAGGUGUCAGGCUGGAGGAAGCCACUUGAAGAUGAAUCUACCUCUGCCUUAGGAUUGCCUGAUGGCCUGUGCCAUUCCAUGUUAUAUCUACUGAUUUGCUCCCUGUAUUCAAAGAUUUUUUUUUUUUACUUAAUUCUCUCUUACUGACCCUGAGAGUGACCAUAUUUUUAACCAAUUUGGUCUUCAGCCUCAAAACUUAGCUCUUUCCUUUUGUGGUCCCCGAAUCCUAUCACGUGUCAUGGUGGCUGUGAAGAUGUUUGCCAAGCCUGCUGAGAAGGCUCAUCUGUGGCAUCCAAAAGCAGAGAUUUCAACUCUGGACCCCUGUGACCUGCCUUUGUAAUUAUGGAUACCCAGCACUGUUUUGAAAUAUCAGUGGACAUCCAGUUUUUAAAAGCCCUCAGAGCUUUGGGAGACACCCCUUUAUCUCUCUGGCAUGUCAGAGAACCGAUUCAACCCUUCUCAUCUCCUCCUCCUUCCCUCUCUUGGGCCAUCAGGAUGCGGCAGCAACUCACUGUGCAUGUUUUUACAGCUCUUCUCCAGUAAUGCUGCCAUUUCCACUGCAGACCACAGGAUAAAAGGACCGCUUCACCGUGGCCCAGGAUACCCUUUUAAGUAGGAGAGGGAGAAGAAAGUACUGCUUUGAUCUAAAAUUAAGCAAACGUUCUUCAAUAAACCCACCAUGAGACUUGACCACUAAUGGUGACCAGCAGUGGCUUUGUCAUGGCCCUGCCCACUGGGGGCAGGCACAUGCCGGGGCCAGGGCAGGCUGCCAGCUGAGUCUGGACACAGCUGACCGUAAUGUUUAUUCAAUCAAUGACUGGUAAGGAAGCUAACAUUCAAAGGUGCUUUGCUCUGCUUGCCUCCAGGACUGGGGAGGAAAAUGCUUUGUAGAGUGUGCUUUAUGCCAUUAUGGUCAAACUAGCAUAGUCAGCCAAAAGAGAGGUGCCCACAUAGAUCCCCCUGAAGAAGUCGCUGAUGUGAAGGUGGCAAAGUACAAGAAAGACAGAUCCAAUCUGGGUCAACUGGGUUACACAGAGAUCAGCUCUGCACUCCUAAGGCCAUGGGAACCUGUUCCCGAACCUGUGGAGCAUCAAUUUUCUGUUCUACUCUGAGUUGUACCACAAUUAGAAGCAUCAUUAUGUGGAAAGGAAUUCCCAGAGGUUCCUAAACAUCCUUCUCCUCCUUUAACCAAUAAAGACAUAUGCAUCUUGCAUUAAUACUGUGGAAUAAAUAAUGAAUUAUAAACGGAAUAGAAAUUAUAAUACAGUGAUGUGAUGUCUGCACAGAUUUUUAUGGUCCCUGGAGUCAGUCCCUUUAGAAAUGUACAUUAUUUUCUCUAUUUAAAGAUAUUCACAACUCUUUGUUAAUCCAGCUCACCAUACUCAUCUAGGGACACUGGGAGGGAAAAUGUAUUUGGAAUUCUACGGGCUCCAUUCUUCCAUUGCUUUUCAAUUAGAGACACCAUUCGUCUUGUGUGUUUUAUCUCUUGGAGCAUUCUCCCAUGUGCUGCCGGAAGAUAACACUCUUUUCAGGUCUCUGAAGUUGCUGGGUUUUACUACGUGUCUCCUAACACCCAUAGGUGUAUGUAAUCUCACUGUAACAGAAUGUUGUCAUGUCUUGUUGACUAAUUAAGCAUCCUCGUUCCAAAUCUCAGCAGCUGAAAGUUCAAGUGUUAAAUGGUGGGAUAGUGAAUCCAGGAGGCAGUGAAUGAGGAGGCAACUCGGGCCCUGGCUGAGUUUUUACUUCUUUUUCUUCUGUUGCAUUAUUUUGUUUCUGUUUUGCCAGGUGCUGCCUGGUUAAAGAUGCCAGUAGGCUCGACACAGAGCCAAAUAUACUGUCCAAAUGUGAGAUUAGAAAUUAGAUCAUAUGUGAUAAAAGACAGCAAUUUAUUUUAGCUUGGUGUUAUAUCAGGAAACUAUGAAAUAAUAUAAUCAAUUUAUUUGCUUACUCACACAAGCAAUGUCUGCUAUGUGCCAGACACAGGAAAAAAAAAUACCAGGGCUAAAAUGAUCCAUAAGACAAGAUUCUUGCUCUUGAAAUACACAAUCCAGUGGGGGAGGAAGACAAGUAGUAGACAGUUAUAGGACAGCAUCCUGAGAAUUGGGAGAGAGAUUUGUUUAUGAGUCUUGGAAGUAGGAGUUAAAUUCAGAGAAGGUGGCAUUUGAGCAGUGUAAGGACCUGUUGGAUGAAUAGUGGGAAUUGAAGUAGGAGAAAAACAGAAUUUAGAAGAUCAUGAAGGACUUCUCAUUCUACAGCAAAAACUUGGGCUUUUACUCAAGGACUUGAGGAGCUGUUGAAGAUUUCAACUGAGAAGCUUCGAGAGGAACCUUGAGACUGAGCUAGUGCCCUUCGAUGGCUGUGUGAAAGGAUGGACUUCAUGGGAGGAAAGAAUCCGACAAGCUGAGAGGACGCUAAAGAAAAAGAAAAGAGGCACUGAAGGACUGGGCUAAACAGUGAUGAUAGACUCUCAAGUUAUGGAAGAAGCACAUAAAUGGGGCUGAGCAGGUCGCUGGAGUUAGGGGAGUUGGAGUCUGCUUUGGCUACCUUGCAUGGAAAUGAUGCUGGUUGUUAAACCAAGGAAUACAGGAAAAAAAAGACACUGUUUAGAGAUGACAUCAUGAUUUCAGUGUGAGUCAAUUUCAGUAUGAGACACCAAUGAGACACUCAGGAGGAGUGGGCUAGUUAACCACCCACCAGUGCCUGGAGCUCAAGAGGAAUGUCAGGGCUGGGAUGAAGGUAAGUCAGAAACACUCCAGAACAGCUAAAAACCAAGUCUACAUGCAGUGAGAAUAACAGUAGCAAGAUAUAACUAUAUAAUACUGGUCAAUAAUAAAAUUUAAAGCAAACAAGAAGAAAACUAGGAAGGUAGACUUGGAGCAAGCAUGUAGAGAGAUAUGAGAGAUCCAGAAACAAGUCAAGUCCAGAAAGUUAACAUGGGGAGAGAGUGGAUAUAUGAUUUUCAGACACCAUAGAAAGUGUCUGUCCUACUAGCAUACAGCCCUAUCCACUGGUUACUAGGUGAGGCAAUAGAUGUAUUAAUUAGCUGGGUUGUGGGGAUAUUUCAAAAUGUAUACAUAUAUAAAAACAACACCUUGUACAAGUUAAAUAAAUAAAAUUUCAAUUCGUCAAUGAUACACCAAUAAAGCUAAAAACAAACAAACAAACAAAAAAGGUGGCCAGGUGCAGUGGCUCAGUCCUAUAAUCCCAGCACUUGUGGAGGCCAGGGUGAGCAGAUCUCUUGAGUCCAGGAGUUUGAGACCAGUCUGGGCAACAUGGUAAAACCCCAUUUCUAUGAAAAAUGCAAAAACAUUAAAGGUGGUGGCACAUGCCUGUAGUCCCAGCUACUCUGGAGGAUAAGAUGGAAGGAUUACCUGAGCCCAGGAGGUCAAGUCUUCAGUGAGCCAUGAUCACACCACUGCACUCUAG
ensembl:lncRNA SILC1 sciatic injury induced lincRNA upregulator of SOX11